UUUUUUUUUUUUUUUUUUUUACCAUUUAAAAGUAUAAAUGAAUAUUGUGUAAAAUUCGAAUGCGCAAUCGUUUUCUUGUGAAAACAAAGAAAAAUAAUUUCAUUUUAUGUAUACAUUUUCCAGUUCUAUAUUAUGUUAUAAAUAUUUUAUAAAAAAAAGAAGAAGAAGAAGAUAAUGUUUAAAAAUGUUAUAAAUUAAAUUAAAAAUAAUGGCUAAUGAUCAUACAGAUAAUAAAAUAAAAGUUUUAAACGUUUUUCAAAAUGAAGAAACAACAGGAAGUGGAGGAAAAUUGCCACAUUCCAAUAAAUUUGAAUUUGAAAAAGGAAUAAUACGAAAUGCCAUAGUUUCAACAAACUUAAAUAAGUACAUAAAAUUAGAAGAAAAAAAAAUAGAGAAAAAAAAUUAUAUAAUUUUCCGUGAACAAUGUGAAUAUUGUUUAACUAAUUUUUCUGUUAGUGGUCAUUUAAUUUUGACAAAAGAAUCAUUACUAUUUGAGCCUGAUUUAAGAGAUAAACAUGUGAUUAUGUAUGGUUUAGGUACAUAUCAGAUAUUUAUUGAUUUAUAUGACAUUUAUGAAUGUGCUCAUAUAGUUGUUCCAACUAAAAAUAUAUAUUUAUAUACCAAUGAAGAUACUUGUGGAUUUAUUCAAGUUUUAUUAAAAAGUAUUUAUAAUAGAAUAUGUGAUGAACCAUCAAUACGUAAUAGGAGUAGUUCAAGUUAUUCAAUCAAUAUUAAUUCAAGUAAUAAUACUAGUGAUGAUACUACAAAUAAACAAAAAGGAGUAUCAUAUUAUAAAUAUAUAAGUAAAAGUUUAUCAUAUGUAUUUAAUUUAGCUCAUCCAUUAAUGCAAAAUACAUCAUUAAAAGAUAAUAAAAAUGAUUUUAUUGAUAGACCUAAGUCACCAGUAAAUAUAUCUAAACAGUUUGGGAAUAGUAAUGAUCAUAAUAUUUUUAAGAAUAAUAAUAAUAAUAAUAAUAGUAGUAGUAGUAGUAGUAAGAAAAAUAGUAGUAAUAGUAGUAGUAAUAAUAGUAGUAAUAAAAAUAACAGAAGUGAAUAUGAACGCCUAGAAACUUUAAACAAAACAAAACAAAACAAAAUUAUAAAUUUUGAUAUAACAUCACCGAAAAAUAAUAAUAUUAUUGAUCAUUUGCAUGAUAGUGAUAUGAAAAUUUACCAAAAAUUUAAUGAAACAAAUUAUAAUCAAGUAUAUUCCUCACAUCCUAAUAUAACUUAUAAAAAUAAUUUUAAUUUAGU
rnacentral:lncRNA from 1 species